rnacentral:rRNA from 1 species
GAUGAACGCUGGCGGCGUGCCUAAUACAUGCAAGUCGAGCGAACGGACGAGAAGCUUGCUUCUCUGAUGUUAGCGGCGGACGGGUGAGUAACACGUGGAUAACCUACCUAUAAGACUGGGAUAACUUCGGGAAACCGGAGCUAAUACCGGAUAAUAUUUUGAACCGCAUGGUUCAAAAGUGAAAGACGGUCUUGCUGUCACUUAUAGAUGGAUCCGCGCUGCAUUAGCUAGUUGGUAAGGUAACGGCUUACCAAGGCAACGAUGCAUAGCCGACCUGAGAGGGGGAUCGGCCACACUGGAACUGAGACACGGUCCAGACUCCUACGGGAGGCAGCAGUAGGGAAUCUUCCGCAAUGGGCGAAAGCCUGACGGAGCAACGCCGCGUGAGUGAUGAAGGUCUUCGGAUCGUAAAACUCUGUUAUUAGGGAAGAACAUAUGUGUAAGUAACUGUGCACAUCCUGACGGUACCUAAUCAGAAAGCCACGGCUAACUACGUG